CUGGGAGAUGCUGUGUAUAUCUAGGCGAAAGCAAAAGCACUUUAUUUGGCCUUCUGAAAGUAGAUGCAUUUAGGAAUCUUUAAGAUUACCUACAACAGAACAGCAAUGCACCGUGGAUGACCGUUUUGUGAACCUAGGAGAGGAGGUAAUUCUGACUUUGCUACGACAAUAUGGCACUUCUGAAUCAGCUACUCAUGGUUGAAGCCAUUGGCACCAAAACAAACCUGGAGCACCAUGAAGGUCCCCUGUUUGAUUCCCUGUAACCCGUGAUCCAGUGAUCUCCCGAGCUUCCAGUGGUUCCUCCGAGCUUGCUUGAUACUAUCCACAUCUGAAAGACGUUCUCACCUGUAUUCAGCCCUGCAGUGAUCUGCACCGAACCCGCACCGGAAUUCACAGAAUACUCACCUUGCACUUGAGAUUCUGAAAAUAAACACUGUUUGGAUUCACUUACCUUUGCCUCUUGUCUAUAUCCUGACACUGGGCUUCUGAUAUUCCUCAUUGAAUCAGACAUUUAUCUUGAAUUAUGUUGUUACAUUAAAUUGUCAUUUAAGAGCUUAUCUCAGAACAUUAAUACCUUUAUCAAUCAUCU
ensembl:lncRNA